rnacentral:tRNA from 1 species
AAGGGAGACCUAAUUCGGGUAGAAGACGAAAAAAUAGUAGUCGAAACCAAGAAUCAAUCCCAAAAGGUCGGAACGAGGUAUGUGGCUUUCAAACUAGGUUCUGGGUUCACAAAAGACCUGAAUCAGGAACAAGGGCUAUUAGCUCAGGUGGUUAGAGCGCACCCCUGAUAAGGGUGAGGUCCCUGGUUCGAGUCCAGGAUGGCCCACCUGCACAGGUGGCAAAAACAAGAGAAACGAGGAAUCAGCACCUUAUCUUACUUACAUAGUAAGAGAGAAUGCUGGCUCUGAGUAAAGAGUCCAGAGGAACCUUGAAAACUGCAUAGAGCUAGGUGAAAAAACCAAAAAAGAAGACCGCAA